CACUUUACAUCAGGUUUUACUCACAUUCUACACCAGGGUUUACACAUAUUUUGCUCCAUGUUUCCUCACAGUUUUCUCCGAGUUUUGUUCACCCUUUACUCCAGGUUUACUCACUCUUUACUUCAUGGUUACGCAUCCUUUACUCUGGGUUUACUCACACUUUACUCCGUGUUUCCUAACAAUGUACACCAUUUGUUUUACUCACAACUUUACUUUGUGUUUACUCAGAAAUUACUACAGCUUUACUCACUAUUUACUCCGGGAUUACACACCCUUUACUUUGGGUCUAGUCACACUUUUCUCUAGUUUUACUCACCCUUUACUCCAGGUUUACUCAACCUUUACUCUG
ensembl:lncRNA